rnacentral:rRNA from 1 species
UACGAAGGGAGCUAGCGUUGUUCGGAAUCACUGGGCGUAAAGCGCACGUAGGCGGAUGUGUCAGUCAGGGGUGAAAUCCCGGAGCUCAACUUCGGAACUGCCUCUGAUACAGCACGUCUUGAGUCCGAUAGAGGUGGGUGGAAUUCCUAGUGUAGAGGUGAAAUUCGUAGAUAUUAGGAAGAACACCGGUGGCGAAAGCGGCUCACUGGCCCGGUACUGACGCUGAGGUGCGAAAGCGUGGGGAGCAAACAGG